CUCCUCUCAGGGUCGCACCUGGAGAGUUUCCAGUACUCUACCAGUUUCGGCCUCGGGAGGGAGAGUCAAGCAGAGACCUACCCAUUCCAUUCCUAGCUUGAGCAGUGGCUAGCGAAUGGAAGGCAAUAUGCCUCAAGU